UACGGGGGGAGCAAGCGUUGUUCGGAUUUACUGGGCGUAAAGGGCGCGUAGGCGGUCGUGACAAGUCACUUGUGAAAUCUCCGGGCUUAACUCGGAACGGUCAAGUGAUACUGUCGGACUAGAGUACAGAAGGGGCAACUGGAAUUCUCGGUGUAGCGGUGAAAUGCGUAGAUAUCGAGAGGAACACCUGCGGCGAAGGCGGGUUGCUGGGCUGAUACUGACGCUGAGGAACGAAAGCUAGGGGAGCGAACGGG
rnacentral:rRNA from 1 species